UAUUGCAUACAAAAAAAUAAUAUUCUUGCGAUAAGAUAUUAAUUAAAUUCCGCGCACUUGUCGUUCGUGACGGGCGGCGAGUUCUAUAGGACGCCGAAAUCCAAAGCGAUCGAAAUCGGAUAUUACAGUCGUAAAGAUAAGGUACAGCGAGAGUACGGCUGCUGACACGUGGCGCGGUGUUAUGAUUCCGCGACCUUUUGGAUGACCCGACGCGGAGAUAUCUGGUGACACGCGGAACCCGGGAGUAAACUUGUUCGUAUACGUGGCGAAUAAUUAUUCACGCAAGAGACUUACUACGGUCCGUGCGAAGUGAUUGAUUCUAAUAACCGCGGCACUACACAAUCUCCCGUAAACUAUAAUAUGUUCCGCGCGAUUUAUUCCUGAUAUCUAUUCCGCGGGACGUUCUUCGCGCAAGUACACAAAAUAGCUAAUAUAUCCGAAUGAUCGCAGGCGCGAAAAAGAAUACGCUAUUGUAAGAAAUGAUUAUUUAAGCGAAUUAUUAUUUAAUAAACAUCUAAGGAUGACCGUUAUAAAUUUAAACUGAUCUUAGCGAAAGCGCGGAUAUGCGAAGGAUCAAAGCAAGGAUGUUUCAAAGUCACUAUAGAAAAAUACUGAGAUUACUGUUAAAGACAAAGACUACUUUUAUUUUUAAAGACUCUUGUAUACAAAAUUUUCGACUGCUUAGGUAUACUUCUUGAAAGAGAGUACCGGGUUUCUCAGCUCGCUUGCUUAAAUGCCCUUUGUCUCUCCCGCGCGCGCUGCUUUAGUUUGCGCCCUUUUCGCUCGGCGCCGAGGGCAGCAGUUACUGGUGACAGUUAGCUGUCCGAUUGGCGCGUGCGCAAUCAGCCGAUCGGCUGAUUCCUUUCAGUAUGAUUAUGAGAUGAAUCGGUACCUUUACUCUACUUAUAGUACAUAUAUGGUGUCGUCCCGCAUAUAUGGUAUCCCGCAGAUGGCCCGGGCGUAUAUCCCGGUGCAGGUAGUAACAACUACAUAGCAAUACCAGUUGCUUGGAACCAAGGAAACAUAUGGACAUAAGGAGACAUCUCCCGGCGCGCCACGUUAUUUCGUAGCAUCGCGAAGGAACUGAAGUCUCAUGGGGAAGUAACACUUGCGCGCCAAUGACCGUUACGCGGAUAGUCACGAAAGCUCAGUAUCUCAAGCGAUUGAGGGGUAUGGCCGCCCUUCCCCUAGAAUUUGAAUCGACGGUUUCGAUGAAAUUGAGCUUUUCGGACACUUUCUCCGAUAUUCGGGCACUCCAGGAGAUGCUGGAGCAGUCGCGGAACAUCUCCUCGAGCGGAUGAUGUCGAAAUACCGCACGAGAGCCGCCGUAUAUGUCGAAAUAUAGUCCAAAUAUAGUCGAAAACGAUAUCCCAAACGAUAGUCCCUUUCCCCUUUCCCCUCGCCCAGCUCGCUAACUCCGCGAAUUCGCGAGGUUUCGAGACUCCCGGGGCCCCGUCGACGCCGGGAUACCCUUCGAGACGAUGAAGAAUCCUCGCGAGGCUCUCGGGCGGGCGAGUAACGCCGAAAUAUGCGCGAAAAUCACGGCGGAACGUCUCAAGCGAGAAACGUCCUCCAUCCCUUUCCCACCAACCUCCAAUUCGCGAUGUUCCGAGGCUCCUGGGUCCCCAUCGACGUCCGGAUGCUCUUCGAGCAUAUUAUUCGGCCCACCUUCUUUGAGACCUAAUCAAUUCAAUCUUUGAUUUGCUUGUCGGUAGUCCUCGCAGGCGAAAAGCUUUCUUCAAUGUGAUCAUGGUUACUCGCUGCCUACUUCCAUCUUAAAUUUUCAAAAUUUUCAUCUCAAAAUUUUCAAAUUUUCGAAAAGCCAAGAGUCGUUUUCGUACCCCACUUUUGAUAAAUACUGUGGGCAAUUUAUCGUCAUGUAUAGAGAGAGCGAGCAAGUUUUCGCGCCGAUAUGUGAGAUCGCGAGCGACCGUUCCUCGUCACCGUGAUUCGGUUAGUCAGGAUAUAAAGGUCCGGAACGCCAACGUUUAAUAAAAAGAGUAUAUUGCGAGAUGUAUAUUUAUUGUGAAUUCUUGUUCGUUUGGUGUUUAGAGAGAGAAGGCCUCGUUUCCCCGAAAGUCGAGAUUUUUAUAUGCGCGUUUUACAUAGUAUACAUAUAAGUAGAACCCAAGAACUUCGAGUGUGGAGCGGGGCAAGGAAGACCUGUGACAUAAAAUAUAUAAAAUAUAAUA